rnacentral:tmRNA from 1 species
CCUCUUCCCCCUUGGGACGCAAACCCCUAUAUUCAAUUUGCCGUCGCUUGCGGCGGCUAUGGCGAUAAACGGACACCGCAAUAAACCAUUCGGACCCGGGGGCGGUACCCGGCGCCUCCACCAAAGCCCGUCGGCGCGGCGGGCUUCGGCGGGGGCGAAAUAGGAUCGACGAGGGCGUAAAGGGUGAUUUUUCGCUCGGCAUGAUACCGCCGUUAUCGGGUCAAACCUUAUAGUUGCCAACGACAACUAUGCUCCGGUGGCCGUCGCUG